rnacentral:rRNA from 1 species
UACGUAGGGACCAAGCGUUGUUCGGAUUUACUGGGCGUAAAGGGCGCGUAGGCGGUCAGUGCAAGUCAGUUGUGAAAUCUCCGGGCUUAACUCGGAAAGGUCAACUGAUACUGCUCGACUAGAGUGCGGAAGGGGCAACUGGAAUUCUUGGUGUAGCGGUGAAAUGCGUAGAUAUCAAGAGGAACACCUGCGGCGAAGGCGGGUUGCUGGGCUGACACUGACGCUGAAGUGCGAAAGCUAGGGGAGCGAACGGG